GAGUUUGAUCCUGGCUCAGAACGAACGCUGGCGGCGUGCCUAACACAUGCAAGUCGAACGUGAUCCAGAGCUUGCUCUGGUGAAAGUGGCGCACGGGUGAGUAACGCGUGGAUAACCUACCCUGGUAUCCGGGAUAACAUUCCGAAAGGGGUGCUAAUACCGGAUAAGCCCACGGGCUCUUUGGAGCUUGCGGGAAAAGGUGGCCUCUAUUUAUAAGCUACUGUAUCAGGAUGGGUCCGCGUACCAUUAGCUAGUUGGCGGUGUAACGGACCACCAAGGCGACGAUGGUUAGCUGGUCUGAGAGGAUGAUCAGCCACACUGGAACUGAGACACGGUCCAGACUCCUACGGGAGGCAGCAGUGGGGAAUUUUGCGCAAUGGGGGAAACCCUGACGCAGCAACGCCGCGUGAGUGAUGAAGGCCUUUGGGUCGUGAAGCUCUGUCAGAGGGGAAGAAAUGAUAUAGUGCUAAUACCACUUUAUCUUGACGGUACCCUCAAAGGAAGCACCGGCUAACUCCGUGCCAGCAGCCGCGGUAAUAC
rnacentral:rRNA from 1 species